AGUGAACGCUGGCGGUAGGCCUAACACAUGCAAGUCGAACGGCAGCACAGUAAGAGCUUGCUCUUACGGGUGGCGAGUGGCGGACGGGUGAGGAAUACAUCGGAAUCUACUUUUUCGUGGGGGAUAACGUAGGGAAACUUACGCUAAUACCGCAUACGACCUACGGGUGAAAGCAGGGGAUCUUCGGACCUUGCGCGAUUGAAUGAGCCGAUGUCGGAUUAGCUAGUUGGCGGGGUAAAGGCCCACCAAGGCGACGAUCCGUAGCUGGUCUGAGAGGAUGAUCCGCCACAGUUGAACUGAGCCACGGUCCAGCCCCCUCCGGGAGGCAGCAGUGGGGAAUUUUGGACAAUGGGCGCAAGCCUGAUCCCGCCAUCCCGCGGGGGUGAAAAAGGCCUUCGGGUUGUAAAGCCCUUUUGUUGGGAAAGAAAAGCAGCAGGUUAAAACCCCGCUGUUCUGACGGUCCCCAAAGAAUAAGCCCCGGCUAACUUCGU
rnacentral:rRNA from 1 species